GCUUCGGUAGCUCAGUGGUUAGAGCAUACGGCUGUUAACCGUAGGGUCGCAGGUUCAAAUCCUGCCCGAAGCG
rnacentral:tRNA from 1 species